GGGCGGUCCCUGGGGGGCGGGCGGGGCCCGACCGGCGCUCUGUGUGGCCGCGGCCAUGAAGCCGCAGCCGCCGGGCUAGGCCCCGGGCGGCUCUAGCCCAGGGCGGCCCGUGGAGGGCCGAGCCCGACCCCGGCUCCGGUUCCCGGGCCGGCGUGCGGCUGCUCACCAUGCCGGGCAAGCACCAGCACUUCCAGGAACCCGAAGUCGGCUGCUGCGGGAAAUACUUCCUGUUUGGCUUCAACAUUGUCUUCUGGGUGCUGGGAGCCCUGUUCCUGGCCAUUGGCCUCUGGGCCUGGGGUGAGAAGGGCGUUCUCUCCAAUAUCUCGGCGCUCACAGAUCUGGGAGGCCUCGACCCCGUGUGGCUGUUUGUAGUGGUUGGAGGCAUCAUGUCGGUGCUGGGCUUUGCCGGCUGCAUCGGGGCCCUCCGGGAGAACACCUUCCUGCUCAAGUUUUUCUCAGUGUUCCUCGGCCUCAUCUUCUUCCUGGAGCUAGCAACAGGGAUCCUGGCCUUCGUAUUCAAGGACUGGAUUCGAGACCAGCUCAAUUUCUUCAUCAAUAACAACGUCAAGGCCUAUCGGGACGACAUUGACCUCCAGAACCUCAUUGACUUUGCUCAGGAAUAUUGGUCUUGCUGCGGAGCCCGAGGGCCUAAUGACUGGAACCUCAAUAUCUAUUUCAACUGCACUGACUUGAACCCGAGCCGGGAGCGCUGCGGGGUGCCCUUCUCCUGCUGCGUCAGGGACCCUGCGGAAGAUGUCCUCAACACCCAGUGUGGCUAUGAUGUCCGGCUCAAACUGCCCCUUGCCUGUGUGUCCCCAGGAGCUGGAGCAGCAGGGCUCCAUCCACACCAAAGGCUGUGUGGGCCAGUUUGAGAAGUGGCUGCAGGACAACCUGAUCGUUGUGGCUGGGGUCUUUGUGGGCAUCGCUCUUCUCCAGAUCUUUGGUAUCUGCCUGGCCCAGAACCUUGUGAGUGACAUCAAGGCAGUGAAGGCCAACUGGAUCAAACACGAUGAUGGCUACAAACUACUCAAAUAAACAAAACCUUGAAAACUACUGGCUUACGCCCACCAUCUCAGAGGUUCUGUCAGCUGCAGGGCCUCAGCAGUGCCGUCUGCCUGGGGCCCUGGCCUGGACCCACCCUGCCAACGUGUUUUCUUGGCCUGGAUAGUGUAUACAUUGAGCCAACCUUUAAAACUUGGUAUAUUUCACGUAAAAGUCCAGACCCCCAGCAUCUUGUGAAGAAUGGCCAUCUGGCCACAGCGGCUCUUUGGUGGCAUCGGCUCCUGGGACGUGUGAUUCCGGUUCUCUGAGGGACCCACCUGGCCUGUUCUGCUCACAUCAGUGCCCUGCCUGCCUGACCCUGUAGGCUGGGAAUUGGCCUCCUCCACCCUCUGCAAGGUUUUCCCCUGCAAGUGCUGCCAGGCUGCUGUGGGCCAAACCUGGAUUGAAGCCCGGGAGAGUGAAGAAUGGGGAAGCUGGAGCCUGCCCAGAAGAGGCCACAGCCUGGAAGGGUCUGGUCCUCCUGGGGGCUGAGAUGGGUGCCAGCGUGCCCAGGAAAGUGGCUGAUGGUUGGGAUGGAGAUCAGGAAGGUUUUGGGCAAGAGGAAGCUGGAAGCCUGAGCUUCACACCCGUGGGGGAACCAGGUUUGGGGGCCAUUGAUAGUUGACUCCUAGGCUCACUUGGAAUCUGGUUCAGUCUUCCCGGUGGCCUGGAGAGUUGCCUCGUGGCCACUAGAGGGCGCGCCAGCACAGCUUUACCUGGAUCUGGCUUUCCUAGGGCAACCCCACCCAGGUUCAGCCCUGUGCCUGGUGUGUCCACCCUGCUUACUAGUUCUUUGGGUUUCAGGGAGUUUACAGACUUCUAAAGGAGCAAACUGGCCCCGAUUUGGGAAGUCUGGCUACUGUUCUCAGAUCUGCACAAAGGGGUAUGUGUGGAGUGAGCAUUUGUGGAUGAAAGGAGAGGUUUGGGCUAGUGCACAGAUCGCCAACUUAGAUGCCCUCAGGGCCAGGUGGGUUAUAAAAAUAAAGUAGGCCUUUGAGGUGUGAGGCCUUUGCAGUACGACUCUAAUUUUUCCCACUAUUCCUGGAGAUGGAAUAUGAAGAGACAUUGCUUUGUGAUAUUUUGCAUGAUUGAGUCUGAUGGCAACUGGCCUUGAGUGACAAUAAGAUGUGGGGACUGUGGCAAAGCACAGAUUCCCACCUGAAAUUGGUGGCUGUCCUUCAGUUGUAGCUAAUUGCCAUAGAGCAGGAAUGUAGGUCUAAUGUGAGAAAUCUGGAGAAGCCAAAAAGCUAGAUUUUUAUGUGAAGUAUUCCGAUUUUUUAGCUGUUGGCAACUAAUGAAAAAACAUCUUAAACCCUGCUAAUCGAACAAAAGGUGUGGGGGCCAGUUGUGGCCCCUCUGCCACCGUAGAUCCCUCUGGAACAGUCCCCCCAUGGGGGCCCUGGGGACUCCACCGUUCAGGAAUGCUGGGAGCUGCUGCAGGUAGGCAGGGUGUGGGGCAUGCGCCCAGCGUCAUGGCUCCCGGGUGCAGCCUGGGCGGUGUCCUCGGGUCUCUGAAAGACACAGGCUGGGGGUGGUGUCUACAUGCUACAAUAAAUGCGGCUCACAAUAUUGUGCACGUA